CCUACGGGAGGCAGCAGUGAGGAAUAUUGGUCAAUGGACGAGAGUCUGAACCAGCCAAGUAGCGUGAAGGAUGACUGCCCUAUGGGUUGUAAACUUCUUUUAUUAAGGAAUAAAACGAGGCACGUGUGCCUUUUUGCAUGUACUUUAUGAAUAAGGAUCGGCUAACUCCGUGCCGGCAGCCGCGGUAAUACUGAGGAUCCGAGCGUUAUCCGGAUUUAUUGGGUUUAAAGGGAACGUAGAUGGGUUGUUAAGUCAGUUGUGAAAGUUUUCGGCUCACCCUUAAAAUUGCAAUUGAUACUGGCAGACUGGAGUACAGGUGAGGUAGGCGGAAUUCGUGGUGUAGCGGUGAAAUGCUUAGAUAUCACGAAGAACCCCGAUUGCGAAGGCAGCUUACUAAACUGUGACUGACAUUGAUGCUCGAAAGUGUGGGUAUCAAAUAGGAUUAGAUACCCGGGUAGUC
rnacentral:rRNA from 1 species